UACGAAGGGGCUAGCGUUGCUCGGAAUCACUGGCGUAAAGCGCACGUAGGCGGAUCUUUAAGUCAGGGGUGAAAUCCUGGAGCUCAACUCCAGAACUGCCUUUGAUACUGGGGAUCUCGAGUCCGGGAGAGGUGAGUGGAACUCCGAGUGUAGAGGUGAAAUUCGUAGAUAUUACGGAAGAACACCAGUGGCGAAGGCGGCUCACUGGCCCGGUACUGACGCUGAGGCGCGAAAGCGUGGGGAGCAAACAGG
rnacentral:rRNA from 1 species